AAUGGACGGCUGAGAUCAAAAGGCAAAAGGGUAUAAAUAAGACCCCCACACCAGACCCCAAACCCUAGCCGCCUGCCCUCGCCUGAGAAGACGAACCAGAAGCCGGCCGCCGCCACCCGCCGCCGCACCGGAGGGAUUUUCGACCGCCGAUCGAGGUAAAUUUCAUACCCCUGACUCGUUUUUCCACGCUGAUUUCCCCAGUGGCCAAAUCGGAGCCAAAAUCCCGGCCAAACGGCCGAAAGCCAGCAGCGCCGCCGCGCCCCUUCUCGGUUUUUGCCUCCGAUGAGGCCCUUCCCGGCCUCCGUUUAAUGCAAUUUUUAUACCACCGUGAUCACCAUUCUUUUCUCUACAGGUUGAUCGGAGCCGAAUCACCAAAAUACGAACUUCGCCGGAGAGCCGCCGCACCCGAGAGCACCGCCGCCGGUAGGCUUCAGUUUUCUGUAAAUUUUUGGCCCC
rnacentral:lncRNA from 1 species